GCUGGGAGUGGCGGACGGGUGAGUAAUGCUUGGGAAUCUGGCUUAUGGAGGGGGAUAACUGUGGGAAACUGCAGCUAAUACCGCGUAUUCUCUGAGGAGGAAAGGGUGGGACCUUAGGGCCACCUGCCAUAAGAUGAGCCCAAGUGGGAUUAGGUAGUUGGUGGGGUAAAGGCCUACCAAGCCUGCGAUCUCUAGCUGGUCUGAGAGGAUGACCAGCCACACUGGAACUGAGACACGGUCCAGACUCCUACGGGAGGCAGCAGUGGGGAAUAUUGCGCAAUGGGGGGAACCCUGACGCAGCCAUGCCGCGUGAAUGAAGAAGGCCUUCGGGUUGUAAAGUUCUUUCGGUAAUGAGGAAGGGAUGUUGUUAAAUAGAUAGCAUCAUUGACGUUAAUUACAGAAGAAGCACCGGCUAACUCCGUGCCAGCAGCCGCGGUAAUACGGAGGGUGCGAGCGUUAAUCGGAAUAACUGGGCGUAAAGGGCACGCAGGCGGACUUUUAAGUGAGAUGUGAAAUCCCCGAGCUUAACUUGGGAACUGCAUUUCAGACUGGGAGUCUAGAGUACUUUAGGGAGGGGUAGAAUUCCACGUGUAGCGGUGAAAUGCGUAGAGAUGUGGAGGAAUACCGAAGGCGAAGGCAGCCCCUUGGGAAUGUACUGACGCUCAUGUGCGAAAGCGUGGGGAGCAAACAGGAUU
rnacentral:rRNA from 1 species